AUCCUGGCUCAGGACGAACGCUGGCGGCGUGCUUAACACAUGCAAGUCGAACGAUGAAGCCCAGCUUGCUGGGUGGAUUAGUGGCGAACGGGUGAGUAACACGUGAGUAACCUGCCCUGGACUCUGGGAUAACCCCGAGAAAUCGGAGCUAAUACCGGAUAGGACCUUUCCCCGCAUGGGGUUGGGUGGAAAGUUUUUCGGUUUGGGAUGGACUCGCGGCCUAUCAGCUUGUUGGUGAGGUAAUGGCUCACCAAGGCGUCGACGGGUAGCCGGCCUGAGAGGGUGACCGGCCACACUGGGACUGAGACACGGCCCAGACUCCUACGGGAGGCAGCAGUGGGGAAUAUUGCACAAUGGGCGCAAGCCUGAUGCAGCAACGCCGCGCGCGGGAUGACGGCCUUCGGGUUGUAAACCGCUUUUAGUAAGGAAGAAGGGGCUUCGGCCUUGACGGUACUUGCAGAAAAAGGACCGGCUAACUACGUGCCAGCAGCCGCGGUAAUACGUAGGGUCCGAGCGUUGUCCGGAAUUAUUGGGCGUAAAGAGCUCGUAGGCGGUUUGUCGCGUCUGCUGUGAAAUCCCGAGGCUCAACCUCGGGCCUGCAGUGGGUACGGGCAGACUUGAGUGGUGUAGGGGAGACUGGAAUUCCUGGUGUAGCGGUGGAAUGCGCAGAUAUCAGGAGGAACACCGAUGGCGAAGGCAGGUCUCUGGGCACUUACUGACGCUGAGGAGCGAAAGCGUGGGGAGCGAACAGGAUUAGAUACCCUGGUAGUCCACGCCGUAAACGUUGGGCGCUAGAUGUGGGGACCUUUCCACGGUUUCCGUGUCGUAGCUAACGCAUUAAGCGCCCCGCCUGGGGAGUACGGCCGCAAGGCUAAAACUCAAAGGAAUUGACG
rnacentral:rRNA from 1 species